UGUAAUCGCAUGUAUUGCCAUCGUUGCUGUUGCUUGUGGUGUAGGAUACUACUUUUAUAGGCGAAGAACCAACAAAAAUCCACAGACACAAAAUACAGGAGAACAUGUGUAUGAGAACACUUAACCAUAUGACAAGAAAAUUUGAGCUCUUUGUUUACAUUUCCAUUUUAAG